UAAACGCCUAGUGAUUGCUGCUACUGAUAUGCAGACCACAGUUCAGACAGGCUCUACAGGUACUUUGUUGAAGUGGUUGCAGUCUGCUGUGUUAUCUUGCUUACAGUGGCCAUUGCCAAUGGGGAAACCUUGUUUCCAUGAAGACGUGUACUUUGGUCACCAGCAGUGUUUAGCUGUGCAUCCUGGUGCCAGCUCUUUCCAAGCUAAGCCAUGCACACACCUGGCUGUUUGGGUGACACUGUUGACGAAUCCCUGCUUGUCAUUUAGUUACUUAUACUUACCCCUUUUUCCUGCUUCCAA